UACGUAGGGUGCAAGCGUUGUCCGGAUUCAUUGGGCGUAAAGGGUGCGUAGGCGGCGCGGUAAGUCGGGUGUGAAAUCUCGGAGCUUAACCCCGGGUCUGCAUUCGAUACGGGCUAGCUAGAGUGUGGUAGGGGAGAUCGGAAUUCCUGGUGUAGCGGUGAAAUGCGCAGAUAUCAGGAAGAACACCCGUGGCGAAGGCGGCUCUCUGGGACGGUACUGACGCUGAGACGCGAAAGCGUGGGGAGCGAACAGG
rnacentral:rRNA from 1 species